rnacentral:rRNA from 1 species
UACGGAGGAUGCGAGCGUUAUCCGGAUUUAUUGGGUUUAAAGGGUGCGUAGGCGGGCCGGUAAGUCAGCGGUAAAAGCCCGGGGCUCAACCCCGGUGAGCCGUUGAAACUGGCGGUCUUGAGUUGGCGAGAGGUAUGCGGAAUGCGCAGUGUAGCGGUGAAAUGCAUAGAUAUUGCGCAGAACUCCGAUUGCGAAGGCAGCGUACUGGCGCCAUACUGACGCUGAGGCACGAAAGCGUGGGUAUCGAACAGG